rnacentral:misc_RNA from 1 species
GUAGGUGAACCUGCGGAAGGAUCAUUAGUGAACGCCCUCACGGGCUUAACAAACCAAUACCAAACCUCUGUGAACCUUUCCGGCCCUCGGGCCGGAACCCCUUUACAAACAUGGUGUAACGAACGUGAUGUAUCAUAACAGAAACAAAACUUUCAACAACGGAUCUCUUGGCUCUC